CGGGCAGCGGCGGAGGGGGAUGGUUGUAGCAAAAAUGAGUGAUGGUGAGUGUAUGGGUGUGAAAUGUCGUCCUCAGGGGAUUGGGGGUUAUGGCACGCAAUAUGCAAUCACAAGAAACUAGGCACUAGCAUAAAGAAAUCA